rnacentral:lncRNA from 11 species
ACAAUAAUACCUGGUUGCUCCUUUUAAUGCUAAAAGUGCAAUCGAACGUGACAAAUUUGCAAAGUUGUUAAUAGAAGAAAAAAGAAGACUCGAUUACGAUGUGUCACGUGUUAUUAUCGUUCUAUUCGUUAAUCCAGAUGCGUACGCGUUGAAUCACAUUUGCGCACCUGCCUUGAACGAUAACAAUUUCGCGCAAUCGUCUCGCAGGAUUACACCAGCGUUGUUGCUCUGUCAGAGCUUUGCAUCUCAUCCAUUAAUAUUAUAGAAUUUACAUAACUCAUUUGUGGACGAACUGGAACCUGCAGUCGAUGGGUAGAUUAACGGGGAUUUUCCUAUCGGGAUACCUUAUAGAAUUUCUACGUGACAAUAUAACAAAGUAAUUUUCUUGUCUGAGAUUAUUUUUCAGUGAACAGUUUUACGUUUUUCUUUUUCGGGAAGAAUAUAGAAGACUGGAGUUGUACGAAGUUUAUAAGGAAGAAAAAAUAUCUUAAAAAUAUGCAUAGAUUAGACUAAUUCAAGGAUAUAAGGAUUUAAGAAUUCAAGAAUUCAAGCAGAGUUUGCGAACUCAAGAAUUCGAAGAUUCAAUAAUCCGAGGGUUCAACAAAUAAUUCACCUAUUUAAUUGUUCAAAGAUUCAAGCAUUCUAGCAUUCAAGAAUUCGAAGAUUCGAAGGUUCAAGAAUUCGAGGGUUCAAAGGUUCAAGGAUUCAAGUAUUCAAGAAUUCAAAACUAUAAUAAUUCAAUUAUUCAAUGGUUCAAGAAUUGAAAGAUUCGAGAAUUCAAGGGUUUAACGAUAAAGCAUUGAAAGGUUAUUCAAGUGGAAAUAUUUGUAAAGUAUUUCCCUAUAACGACAAUUAUAUCCUCUUGAAAUUUGUACAUUUUUCAUCACUUAAUCAUUUGAUUCACACGUAGAAUCGAAGAUUACAUAUUUAAAUAGAGAUAAAAUUAUAUAUAUAGAUACUCAGGUGAAAAUUAACCCCUUGAUAAUAUAUCAGAGCAAUUUCGAUAAACGCGUACCGAUUUGACACAGUAAUUUUGUAAAGCGAUAAGAUGACAGUAAAUAUGCUUGUAACACGCAUUGGUGAAAAUAACAUAACGUCUGAUUAGCCAAAGGUUACUACGCAAUAACAUGCGAUAAAAAAGACGCGUCCGUUUCUACGUCAAUUUAGCAUUCGUAGAAUUUCAUCUUGUUUAUCGCAAUAAGCUUAAUUGUAAUUAAUUCUAAAACCGAUUUCACAGUGUUAUUUUAUUAUGUGAUUGCGUGUGCGACGUGCAGAAAAAAGGCGUCGCAGAAAAACGUAUUACUAGUGACUUGAAUUUACGUGUGAGGAUGUGGCGUGUAUUACGUUUUAGUGAAUAAAAAGCAAGAGUUCAUAUUACGUACGUAAUUAGUACGAUACUUAAGGUGGUAUUACGAUCUUAACAGCAAAUACACGAAGUUCUUCCAAUUACUCGGAUUAUUAUUUCCAUUUCGCUUCGUACUACUCUUUGAUAUAUCAUUACUAAAUAUUUUUAAUUCUCUAACGCAAUUCCAUAAUGAUUGUUAACAACGUGUAUAUCAGGUGAUAUAUUCUCGUGUAAUGUAAUAAACAAUUGAUCAAUGAUUCAGUUGGUAUCGAUUACAUGAAGGAGAAAAACGAUACGCAAGGUACCAAACAAGACGUGGUUCACCCUGUUUUUAACGCGAUACGCAUCAAUUGAGCCGAGGCCGUAGCAAUUAACGCGCUUCUCGUCGCCUAUCAAGGAGCCAACCUCGAGAAAAACGCACUUGAACCAAUUUACGACGUGGGAAAACGCGACAGGGUGCAUUUCCCAUCGAUUCGAUCGACAAAUUCUAAAAUGUCGUCAAGGGAUAAUAAUUUAAUUAACAACACGAACGAAAGCAAUCUGUCUGCGAGGAUCAGCUCUUCUUCUCUUUCCUUCGGAAUAAAUAGCAGAUAAACCAGAACACAGAGUAAAAUGAGCGAAAGAGUAAAUUUAUUCCUUGCUUCUUACCUUAUUUACAUCUAUCUGUUUACUUGUAACAGAAGUAGUACAAAAGUAAUAUGACUCACGUGAAAUUAUUCUUUUAGUCUAUUCUUGAAACUGGCAAUUAUUUCUUCUGUAUGUUUUUCGAAACGGCAAAUACAGUAAAUUGAAAUACAGACGUUGAAAGGAAGGUUUCUUAUAUCCAUCUGAUAUCCCGAGACGAGUCAAUAAAGGAAGCGAGCAUGGAAUGAUGACACUGAAAGGUUGAGGAAGAAAUUUCUAAACGUAAAGUAGGAUGAACUAGCAAUGCGAAUAUGGAAUAUAAUCGACAGGGAAGAGAGAACGGUUUGACUUGUUCGUUUACAUCAGUUUACAGAAUUGAUUUUCUCUGUCAUAGAAUAAAAAAUAUGAUCAAGGACAACGAAGCGCUUCGAACGUAUUGUGCUUGUGUGAUAAACACGUCCUCUGGCGUCGCGCAUACUUCUGUUUUGUUAGAAAAGCUUCCUUGACCCGUGACAUCAACUUUUAUCUUCGGGCGCGCGGGAAAAAUUAUCGACGUUUUAAUUGCGAGAAGGAUGAAAAAAGAAAAAAGGAAGAGAAGAAAAAAUAUUGAAGCUUUCGUUGGCAAUAAGAAGAAAAGGGCUACGGUCCAAUUAAAACACAAUCUUUCCUCGUAAAUAAGCAACUUCAUGCUUCACCUUGGCGUAGUGUCGUCGUUAACGAUAGAUAAUUGACAAAACGGCACGCGAAUGGGUCGAGGCCUCUCCGCAAAAACCAGUUGGUCUGGAAACGAGUUCGUGAGAAUCGGAGAACAGUUAUGCACGACCGAUCUGAGGAAAAAUCGUGAAACGUCAACACCACUCGCUAUGCGUUCAAGAGACACCAUUAUAGUAUCGCGUUUCAGGAAAAGAUUCUUCUGGAUUAAAAAUAGACGUAAUAAAAAUUAAUGGAAAACGCACGUUUCGAUUCUAUGAGUAAGAGAGGAUUUUCUCAGAACGUUAAAAGUCUCUUUAUUGAAACGAGACUAAUAUAUAUAUAAUGUGAUAUAUAUAUAUCACAUUCUAAUGCAAUA